GAUGAACGCUGGCGGCGUGCCUAAUACAUGCAAGUCGAGCGAAUGGACGAGAAGCUUGCUUCUCUGAUGUUAGCGGCGGACGGGUGAGUAACACGUGGAUAACCUACCUAUAAGACUGGGAUAACUUCGGGAAACCGGAGCUAAUACCGGAUAAUAUUUUGAACCGCAUGGUUCAAAAGUGAAAGACGGUCUUGCUGUCACUUAUAGAUGGAUCCGCGCUGCAUUAGCUAGUUGGUAAGGUAACGGCUUACCAAGGCAACGAUGCAUAGCCGACCUGAGAGGGUGAUCGGCCACACUGGAACUGAGACACGGUCCAGACUCCUACGGGAGGAAGCAGUAGGGAAUCUUCCGCAAUGGGCGAAAGCCUGACGGAGCAACGCCGCGUGAGUGAUGAAGGUCUUCGGAUCGUAAAACUCUGUUAUUAGGGAAGAACAUAUGUGUAAGUAACUGUGCACAUCUUGACGGUACCUAAUCAGAAAGCCACGGCUAACUACGUG
rnacentral:rRNA from 1 species